rnacentral:rRNA from 1 species
GACGAACGCUGGCGGCGUGCCUAACACAUGCAAGUUGAGCGACGAACCAGGGCUUGCCCUGGGGCAAAGCAGCGAACGGGUGAGUAACACGUGGGUAACCUACCCCGAUAACCGGGACAACCCGAGGAAACUCGGGCUAAUACCGGAUGUGCUCACUGGACUUCGGUUCAGUGCGUAAAGGAAGCUUCGGCCUCCGUAUCGGGAGGGGCCCGCGGCCCAUUAGUUUGUUGGUGAGGUAACGGCUCACCAAGACCGCGAUGGGUAGCUGGGCUGAGAGGACGAUCAGCCACACUGGGACUGAGACACGGCCCAGACUCCUACGGGAGGCAGCAGUGGGGAAUCUUGCGCAAUGCGCGAAAGCGUGACGCAGCAACGCCGCGUGGGGGAAGAAGGCCUUCGGGUUGUAAACCCCUUUCAGGAGGGACGAAGGUUCGGCGGUGAAUAGCCGUCCGGACUGACGGUACCUCCACAAGAAGCCCCGGCUAACUACGUG